rnacentral:rRNA from 1 species
GCUGGCGGCGUGCCUACACAUGCAAGUCGGACGGAUUUAUUGAUGUAGCAAUACAUUAAUAAAUUAGUGGCGGACGGGUGAGUAACACGUAGGUAACCAACCUUCGAGACGGGGGCAACUCAGGGAAACUUGAGCUAAUACCCGGUAAGACCACGAUCUGGGAGGGUAGUGGUAAAAGGGAGCAAUCCGCUUGGAGACGGGCCUGCGGCCUAUCAGGUAGUUGGUGGGGUAACGGCUUACCAAGCCAAAGACGGGUAGCCGGGCUGAGAGGUUGAACGGCCACACUGGAACUGAGAGACGGUCCAGACUCCUACGGGAGGCAGCAGUGGGGAAUAUUGCACAAUGGGCGAAAGCCUGAUGCAGCGACGCCGCGUGGAGGAUGAAGGUCUUCGGGUUGUAAACUCCUUUUCUUGGGAAAGAUGAUGACGGUACCCAAGGAAUAAGCCACGGCUAACUCUGUGCCAGCAGCCGCGGUAAGACAGAGGUGGCGAGCGUUGUUCGGAAUCACUGGGCUUAAAGGGCGAGUAGGCGGUGGGGCAAGUCUGUGGUGGAAUCCUAUGGCUUAACCAUAGAAUUGCCAUAGAAACUGUUUCACUUGAGUCAGUGAGGGGAGGGCGGAAUUCCUGGUGUAGCGGUGAAAUGCGUAGAUAUCAGGAGGAAGGCCUGUGGCGAAGGCGGCCCUCUGGCACUGUACUG